rnacentral:lncRNA from 1 species
AACACAGCUGAGCAAUAUAUUACUAGUUUUCCAUGAGCGCUGCUAUAGAUAACACCUGUGCUUUGUGGGUUUUGCUAACCUAGUAGGUUACCUUUCAGGGAAUUGAACACUGAUUCUGUCGAAAAGACUGACUUUUCACUCGGGCCUGUGUGGGUGUCCAGUGGAUGACCCUGUGACAUCAGAAGGCCAAAACCUCCACUUUAGGUCUUACUCAUGCUGCCGUUUCCCGGCAUGCAUCCUGCGGAGCGUGUCAAAUUUGAUUACACACCUGCAGAACACUGAUGACUUCCCCUCCAAUCACCUGACCCUGCGCUCUCGGUUACCCUGCUUCUUUAUCCCACAGAUAUCCCCAAACCCUUUCCCCAGAAAAGUACACUGGAGAUUUGGGUCUCCCACAUCCACCCUUCACCUACUUGCACGUAAAGUCCAUCGCAUCUAUAAAACUAUUUUGGGAGGACCCGACUCAACCUGCUGCAAGGCCUUUGGCUCCUGUCCUGUCAUCUGCCCGGAAGUGCAGCAGCGAUCUUGUGCUCUGAGGCCGCAGGCGCGAUGAAGUCUCCGACUGAAGACUGUGGAAAGGGAAGCUGCAGAAAGGCAGGAGCCUGACAGUGUCACCGCAUGAUGGGUGUGCUGCUGCCUUUAACCCGCUAACCUCUAGAAUUCUUCAUGUGAUAGAGUUCUUCAAGCCACCGCCAGGUUUUCUGUCCCUCUGGCCAAAAAUAUGCUAGCGGACAUGCCAAGUUUCCCCUAGUUCACAAUAAAGUUAGAAAAAUAAGGUGAUACAGCUUUCACAGAUCUAGAUUCAUUAAAUGUCUUUGUUCUCAAAUCAUGUCACUCCCAUGUUGUGGGUAUUAAAAUAUCCUUUUCAAAUAAAAUGAUGGUAAUUAUAGAUUGUCAUUUAUUUUAUGGUUUUCUUACUUGGCAAAGAAAGGAAGGCAGGAGGGUGGGAGGGGAAAAGAUCUCAGAAAGCUAGUCUUUCUCUAAUUAAAAAAUUUUUUUUCUUAGCUGUGCCAUAUAGAAUUCUGUACUGAAAAGCACGCUGGCUGAACUCGCCUCCGAGGCCUGGAGCCCGAGGUGCGUCUGCGCCGCUGGCAGCGGCUCAGAGAAGCAGACGGUUAAGGUCCCGGGAAGCUACUUGGCAUCACCUUGGUAGGCCGAAUCUAAGCUAGAGGGAGCGCGCGCAUCAUGAAAACCUGCAAACGCUGCGGAUCCCCUCCGCUCACCCUCUGCCGCCAAGCUGUUGUACUUCAGCAGCCGCCACGGCCCCAAACCUGCAGCUGCA